rnacentral:rRNA from 1 species
GAUGAACGCUGGCGGCGUGCCUAAUACAUGCAAGUCGAGCGAACAGACGAGGAGCUUGCUCCUCUGACGUUAGCGGCGGACGGGUGAGUAACACGUGGAUAACCUCCCUAUAAGACUGGGAUAACUUCGGGAAACCGGAGCUAAUACCGGAUAAUAUAUUGAACCGCAUGGUUCAAUAGUGAAGGACGGUUUUGCUGUCACUUAUAGAUGGAUCCGCGCCGCAUUAGCUAGUUGGUAAGGUAACGGCUUACCAAGGCGACGAUGCGUAGCCGACCUGAGAGGGGGAUCGGCCACACUGGAACUGAGACACGGUCCAGACUCCUACGGGAGGCAGCAGUAGGGAAUCUUCCGCAAUGGGCGAAAGCCUGACGGAGCAACGCCGCGUGAGUGAUGAAGGUCUUCGGAUCGUAAAACUCUGUUAUUAGGGAAGAACAAAUGUGUAAGUAACUAUGCACGUCUUGACGGUACCUAAUCAGAAAGCCACGGCUAACUACGUG